rnacentral:ncRNA from 1 species
CAAAAUGCAGAGAUAAGGAUUAGUAGAAAUUUUUACGGAUUUCAGAGAGCUGUUGGUUGGUGAAAAACAGUAGAUGUAAGAUUUUGAACUGCCCUUGGAGCAGCUGCCCGAACUUUUACUAAUAAAGCAAGGCGAGGUAAGAUAGUAGGCGUAGACGGAAUCCCUACCGUUAUCAGCAGGGAAAGAUAUAAGAUGGUUUCAUCAGUAUCUUUUGAGAGUAUGAAUUUGAUUCAUAAAGUAGAGUGGUACCGCGCAGGACGUUAGUCUUUCGUCUCUAUU